UACAGAGGUCCCGAGCGUUGUUCGGAUUUAUUGGGCGUAAAGGGUGCGUAGGCGGCGGAGUAAGUUGGGUGUGAAAUCCCGGGGCUCAACCUCGGAAUGGCAUUCAAUACUGCUUCGCUAGAGUACUGGAGAGGGAGGCUGGAAUUUACGGUGUAGCAGUGAAAUGCGUAGAUAUCGUAAGGAAGGCCGGUGGCGAAAGCGAGCCUCUGGACAGUUACUGACGCUGAUGCACGAAGGCCAGGGGAGCAAACGGG
rnacentral:rRNA from 1 species